GCCGCUUCCCAUACGAUCACAGAAGUUAAGCAAUCUCGGGCCUGGUAUUAACUAGAUGGGUGGCCGCUUGAGAAUACCAGGUGCUGUAA